UUCUAUUUUCCUAUUGAUUUAUUGCAGCCGUUGCCGGGCCUCGGUGUGUGCGAAGUCAGGGCACUUCACAACUGCGCCCUGUUUAAACAGGAAAAGCAUGCACCAUUUUGUCAGGGAGGAGGGAGCAGCCCAAAGUCUCUCCCUUCAGUUCGGUCCCCAGGGGCCCAGACCAACAAAGAAGACAUUAAAAACCUGCAGCCCAGAGAGGGAAGGAAACUGCCUCUCUGGGUCUUCCCCAAGCCCAGCUGUGCAAGGACAGGAAAGGGCCCCAGCAGAGCGAGAGACCAGCUGAGGAAAGCAGAGGCCAGGCUGCCCUGUGGUCCAGUGAGAGAAACAGAGUAUCAGCAUGCUGCCCAGGCUGGCCUUGAACUCCUAGGCUCAAGUAAUCUUCCUGCCUCAGCCUCACAAGUACCUAGGACUACAGGCUCGCCAAGGCCAAGGCCUGGCCCUGGGGCCUAGAGGGUCACCAAGGCCCCUUCUGGAGGUUACCUCCUUCCAAGCUGUGCAUGGAAUCCUUCCCUGCCUGCCAGGCUCUGGCCAUCCCGAGGCCUCACCACACUGAAAGCGGCCCCUGAAAAGCCCAGGGAGAAGGAACCAGCAGCGGACCACAUCUGUACCAAGAGCACUACUUAAAAAGAAGAGGAAAAGGAAAAAGAAGAAGAGGAAGAGCAGAAGGAGAAAGAGAAAGAAGAAAAAGAAAUACAACAAAGAGGAAGAGGAGGAGGAUAAUGAUUUCUAAC
ensembl:lncRNA